UUUGACGUAACAAGGUUCCGUAGGUGAACCUGCGGAAGGAUCAUUCGCACGCAUCCAAUUGAACCACUGUGCAUCUUGUCGUGAGGUUCUGAGUGGGGAGCAAUUACCAACUCAGAAACUCAAGGGCAGCAGUGUGGGGUUAGCUUUGCUAGCCUCAUUCCUGCUGUCGGGUUCUACUUGAACUUCUAUUUUGUUUUGACAUGCUUUCGUGAGUGGCUAGUCCACUUCAACUUCAUUUCACAACUUUCAGCGACGGAUGUCUCGGCUCGAACAACGAUGAAGGGCGCAGCGAAGUGUGAUAAACAUUGUGAAUUGCAGAAUUCCGUGAACCAAUAGGGAUUUGAACGUAUACUGCGCUUUCGGGAUAUCCCUGAAAGCAUGCCUGCUUCAGUGCCUCUACCUUCUAAUGCCAGUAGCUUUAUGCUCUUCGGGGCUGGCUGCUUGUGCGUAUUUGUGCGUUAAAUUGCGCUGUAUGUGUGCAUUUGACGCAUUGAGCAUGUGGGGAACCUUCGCAUCAAUCAACUUAUUGAGUGUCUCUGAUACCAUCUGUUGCAUUGCUUGCAAAGGCUGCCUCAACAACCAAAGCUGCUUCGUGUAGCUUUCCUCCAAGGCAUGAAGUUAGGUCAGCAAACCCGCUGAAUUUAAGCAUAUGCGACCCGGCAGGGA
rnacentral:rRNA from 1 species